GUUCUACUGCGGCGUUGGUAACUGCCAAUAAUGUUUUAUGAUCUAUGCCUUUUCAAUCUGGGAACCAAUAAGGUCUGGCGGCAGUAAACCGGGCAUGUACCCGGAAACUUUAAGUCAGGCGUUCGGUACCCACCUGGUUUCUUAACCAGGUCAAAAACUGAGGUAAGACGGCGCUGCGGUGAACU
rnacentral:other from 1 species